GACGAACGCUGGCGGCGUGCUUAACACAUGCAAGUCGUACGGUAAGGUCCUUUCGGGGGUACACGAGUGGCGAACGGGUGAGUAACACGUGAGUAACCUGCCCACAACUUUGGGAUAACGCUAGGAAACUGGUGCUAAUACUGGAUAUGUGCUCCUGCUGCAUGGUGGGGGUUGGAAAGCUCCGGCGGUUGUGGAUGGACUCGCGGCCUAUCAGCUUGUUGGUGGGGUAGUGGCCUACCAAGGCGGCGACGGGUAGCCGGCCUGAGAGGGUGACCGGCCACAUUGGGACUGAGAUACGGCCCAGACUCCUACGGGAGGCAGCAGUGGGGAAUAUUGCACAAUGGGCGCAAGCCUGAUGCAGCAACGCCGCGUGCGGGAUGACGGCCUUCGGGUUGUAAACCGCUUUCAGCAGGGACGAAGCUUUUUGUGACGGUACCUGCAGAAGAAGCACCGGCUAACUACUUG
rnacentral:rRNA from 1 species